rnacentral:lncRNA from 1 species
AAUUUAGUAUGUUUUUAAAGGAACUAGCUCUUUUUUUCCAGUCAAAUCCAAUUUAUGUACCGAAUACUUUUGGUAAGAACAGUCAACAAAAGCUAAUUAACUAGCUAUGUUUUUUUUUUUUUCCAUUAUCAUGUGAUAUGUAAAUUAAAACAUCUACAUUGUGAAUUUAAUUAAAGUCUUUAACCGCCCUUUGGAAUUUAGAGACCUUAUAAUGAUGUUGAGUCCUAAAUAAAGAAUGAUAACCCCACUUUUGAUUUAACAAAAAACCUUAUAUUUCAAACGUGCAAAAAGUUUAAGAUAAAAAUGUAGCUGUAUAUGAUUAUCAUCAAAAAGUUUAAGAUUCUCAAACAUCUCAUCUCAUAUGGAAAUAAAUAAUCCAGAUAAUCAGAUCUAAUACCCAUCAUCAUCAUCAUCAUCAUCAUCAUCUGAAUCUGAUACAUACAAUAUUGAUGGUGGGUCAUUAUUCCUUAAAGGAAAAGAUAUUUUUUUCCCUCGCAAGGGGUCCCCAUGUCUAACAAUUGAAGGCAUUCGAGACACCAAACAACAUCAAAUACAAAGAAGCAUCAUUGAAGUCCACUAGGCUUGAACAAUCUCCCCUCACCCGAAUGCAAUUAUAAUCAGAAAUCACAGCUAAAGAACCUUGGAUGGGUGUUGCUGUCAAACAGUGUUUUGGCAAUGCAAUUCUGCCAAAAACAUGAGUGCUCAAAUCGAAUGUCAAUACAUAACAUCUCCCUCUGACAUUAGAUACCACCUAGCAAUGUAACGCUCCAUUGACCAAACAUGAUUUUGAUAUCAAUUGUAAAGAUUUCACAAAUCAACUCGUCACAUAGAUGAGCUGACAUCAUGUGGUUGUGCUUUUUUCUAAGGCCAGGCAUAACUGCAAUACAAGUAAAAUAGAUUUAAAAAUAAACCACAUAAAGUUCUAAUGAAUACAAGAAGUAAAUCAAAUGGGUUGGUUCCAUCUUUUCAGGCAUUGUAUCAAACGCUUGAUGUGCAAAUAAAUAUUAAAACCAGGAAGAUGUUGAAAAGAUAAAUCAUAUAUGCUCAUAAACUAAUAUGGAGUUAUUCUGCUCAAUCCCAUAACCUGUGAAAAAGAAAUCCUAAUGGUUAUUGAUUUAAGAAACCAUCUUGUAACAUGGGUCAUUAAACUCAUAGACGCCUUCCCAUGUUUGUUUGCAAUGUUAUCUCACCAAACAGCUGUGUAUAUCAGUCACAGUAAACUGGGUUAAAAUACAUCAACGACUUCUAAUCUCGUUCUUUCUAAACAAGCUAAUCUGGCUCAAAAAAAUUGAUGGUUUCGACUUUAAAUGACAACAAAAACAUUCAUACCUUCAUCACAUGUCUAUUAAGAUGGUUAUUCGAAUGAUGUGCUAAAGAACCUAGAUAAAUAUUGUCCAAAUAUGAUCCCCUUUUCACCUAAUCUCCUUACAAUUUCCUCACUGCUAACUUUCGUUCGGAUUCUACCUUUACAAGGCCCCACUCAUCCUAUUCUUUGUAUUUGUAUCGCAAUAUCACGUAUUACUGCAAACUAUCCAAAAGCUAAAUAAAUUCACGGAAUAUUAUAAACACAUCCCGCUUUGAAACCUAAUGAAUUUCACCUCCCGGGGAAGAUGAACAGAACACAUCCUAAAACCUAAUAAUCAUCGCAUAUAAGUAACAAAAUUUACCAGAGAAUAUCAACAGAAAUCUCGUAAGAAUAACGAAAUCGCUUACCGGUAGAUGAACAAAACGGCAGACGACUGACGACGCGGUUGUCGGGCUGGUCGCUAGAAAAAUAGAUGGCCGAAAGGAGGAGUAGCUAGCCUUGUCUUCCAUUUGAAAACAUAAACGUGUAGGGGUGUGUGGAUGUGUGUUUUAAAACUGAAUAUUGAUUUAGGUUUUACUGGAGCUAAUUUCAAUGGCAAGAUAACUCAGAAAACAAAUAAAUUCUCCAAACACUUCUCCUUUCGAAAUCGCCAUUGGGUGUCCACUUCCCUUCGGGUCGGGUUACUUGUCCAGGUCAUUAAAAAUAUAAGUCAGAUUUUGACAACAUGGAAGGAAACUAUACCGGUGUUAUAUAAUCACAUACCAAUGUAUGGACAUGAUGGCAAUUGGCCUUGUGGAUGUAAUGUCUAGAACCCUUCACGUGAUAAUUACUUAAUGUGUCUUAAAGUGACCUAAAACGUAGGAGGGAUUGGGGAUGUAGUCUGGUGAAGAUUUUAACAAUCAACUCAUCGCAUAGAUGAUGAUAUGGCACCGUGUAAUUC